rnacentral:rRNA from 1 species
GAUGAACGCUGGCGGCGUGCCUAAUACAUGCAAGUCGAGCGAACAGACGAGGAGCUUGCUCCUCUGACGUUAGCGGCGGACGGGUGAGUAACACGUGGAUAACCUACCUAUAAGACUGGGAUAACUUCGGGAAACCGGAGCUAAUACCGGAUAAUAUAUUGAACCGCAUGGUUCAAUAGUGAAAGACGGUUUUGCUGUCACUUAUAGAUGGAUCCGCGCCGCAUCAGCUAGUUGGUAAGGUAACGGCUUACCAAGGCAACGAUGCGUAGCCGACCUGAGAGGGUGAUCGGCCACACUGGAACUGAGACACGGUCCAGACUCCUACGGGAGGCAGCAGUAGGGAAUCUUCCGCAAUGGGCGAAAGCCUGACGGAGCAACGCCGCGUGAGUGAUGAAGGUCUUUGGAUCGUAAAACUCUGUUAUUAGGGAAGAACAAAUGUGUAAGUAACUAUGCACGUCUUGACGGUACCUAAUCAGAAAGCCACGGCUAACUACGUG